ensembl:lncRNA
CUGAGUUAAUCUUAUGUCUGAGAUCUGGAGGUGAAACCACCAGGCUGGGAGUGAAUGUCUGUUUUUCGCUUUGUCAUGUUCGAGUGGGCUGUGCCUGGGCAUCUCCCCAGAGCCGAGGUCAGCUGAGGUUUCAGUUUGAAAGAGUGGUAGCAGAUGGUGGCGUUCCUCAGAGAGGUGGCCUCAGAGGUGAACCAGGUUGCUGGAAAUACCUUUCCCCACCCUACACAAGAACGCCAAACAUCAGCCAUGGCAUCCCCCUUCAUUCACACCAGUGUCGUCUAGGGAAACCGAACAACGUCAGGGUUUUUAGGGGACAUAUUGUAUCUUGAGGCAUUUCAUCUGCAGAACCUGUCUAGGUGGGACACUGUUGGACACUUUCUUAGGACAAAUGAAAACUUCUGUGUGCUACUUGAAAGAGAAAGUACGCCCAGCGUUCCUUUCCAGAACUGGCAGUUACCACCACUCGCACUUUGGCUUCCGACCAGCUUUGACUGCAGGCUGGAGAAACUAUGUGGAGAGAAAGACAGAAAGAGACACCUGAGUGGUCCCAGAGAUUCCAUCGCCUGGCGAUCCGGCUCUUCCCAGUCCUGCACCAGACACGUGAGGGAGGGAGUCUUCAAAAGGAGCCCAGCCCCAGCCGCCAUGUGAAUGCAGCCUCCUGAGAGAUCCCAAACCAGAGCAACCCAGCCACAGCACUCCUCAUCGGACUCGCAGAAACGAUGAAAGAUAAGAAAUGAAUAUUGUUAUUUGAAGCCACUAAGUUUUGGGGUGAUUUGUCAUGCAGCAAUAGUUACAGAUUUUAUAGCUAACUAAUAUAGGCACUCUCCUACCUAGCUGGUGGUAGAUUAAAUUGGUGCAUCCUCCUUGGAGUGCGCAGUUUACUAAUGCCUAACUGAAAUAAUACCUACACAGGCCCUUUGCCCAGAUAGUCCACUUUUAGAAGUUUCCUAACAAAUAUACCCACACCUAUGCAAAGUGAUAUAUGUAUAUAUAUUUAUCACGGUAUUGUUUAAAUAGAAACAAUCAGAAAUAACCUAAAAGGCAAUUCAUAUUAUAAAUUAUAUAUUAUAAAUUAUAACAUUCAAUGGAAUAUUGUUCAGUCCAACAAAGAAUGAGGGUAUUCUUCACACGAUGCCAUGAAAAAAAAUCUCCAACAUAAUUUCCAAGCAAAACAAUAAUAGAAAAGGACGUGCAAGGCAGCGUGGACAGUGCAGUGGCAGCUAUGUAGGAGGAGGAGAAGCCUGUCCUUGUUCCUAACUGCGUGAAUAUGCAUAGAUUAUCUUUGCAAUGUACGCGAGGAACCUUCACGUCCAUUGCCUGGAGAAGAGAACUAAUGGCUGACAGACAAGAGGGCGACGGUGGGGCUUUACACUUCAAGACUUCUUAAUUUUAUACCAAGUGAAUAUAUUACCUAAUCAGGAAUAAAAAAAUAAAAAUUAACUUAAAAAAAAAGAAAUUUCUAUCAGCUGUUUUUGCUUUAACUUAACACUGUCUGGACUUUUAGAUCUUAGAGCUGGGUCUUCAAACCAAGGCAAUUCUGAGGGUCAAGCAGAGUUUCUUCCAGGGUGUACAUCCUGGAGGGUAAGGGAACCAGUUUCUAGACAGAGAAUGAAUACCAGUGCUCUUGCUUACAGUUCAGCUGUCUGGGAAAGUACCUUGCUGGGCUGGUUCUCCCUGCUUCUCUCCCAGGUUUCUUUCUCUCACUUGACAAAAGACAGGCAGACCUCUCGCCUGUCCUGCUUUUCACUCUGGGUGUUGCCUCAGAAUGGAAAGACCCCUUGGAGGCCAAACAAAGGAACAAUUCAAGAUAUUGGCACUGGUUUUGAGAAAGUGAACAACUUUAAAGGUUGAGAAAUAAAUCCUUUUGCAGAUCUAAUUCUUGCAAAAGGUAGUUUCCAAGAUUUUGCUUUCAAAAUAAUUGAAAGAGGACCUAUUGAGUUGUCAGCUGAUAGAACAUUAAAAAUUACGUUUGAUAAUGGAUCACAGGGCAGUUUUUUACAUAUAACUCAGAACUUCAAAGAAAUGAGUGAUGUUGCUAUAAGAAAACUCCUUCCAUGGCCAUCUGCUUAUUUAUAUAAAGAACGUUCCUCAGCACUAUUUUUAAAAACAAAAAAGAAUAAAAUUGAUGCUAUAAAUUAUACUCAGCCCUAAAAACUGAACUUGCUUAAAAACUAAAGCAGCUCUUUUCAUCUUACUAAGAGAUACAUUUCCAAUAAAAUUUCACUUUUAUGUUUAAUGAUUAUAGGUGGUCAAACCAUUAGAGUGAUAACACCGUCAAAAGUUGUUUUUUUUUACCCUUAGAGAAUAACAGUCACAGGAAAUCUUCUAAAAUUUAAAUUUGUUCCCAUACUUUUAUUGCCUUGAAGUAUGAUAGAAUGAUUUUUAAAAAAAGACUUUCAAGCAUACAGAUAGAUUACAUCAAGAGUAAAAUUCUUUGGGGGAAGCAGAAUGAAAUGAGCUGAAAUUGAAAAGGGAACAAUGUAAAAUUUCCUUGUGUUAAACACUAUUUUUUUGAUAUAUUUUUUAAACGACGAUGGCAGGUAUAAAAUGGCUGUGAUAUUUGGAUACAUUUUAAAGAAUAAUAUAACAAGGCUUCAAAAGUGUCCAUAUUUAUUAUGAUGGAAAUUACAUCUUUUGUUGAAGAAACAUUUUAAAUAACGUAAAACUGCAUAAGGGAGAAAGUUCUUCGAAUUCUUUAAGCAAAACACAGACAAAUAAUUCGAACCAUUGCCUUAGGGACCAUCUGAUCCAGCUCUCUUUACUUUGCAGAUGAAAAACUUGUCCAUCAAAGUGAAGUAACUUCCUCAAGGUCAAGUGACAAAUAAGACCAGAUCCUGGUCUCCUGCCUCCUGGUCCAGGCAGCCAGAUCUAAUCCAGGCAGCCUGCCUGGUAGGGAACAGAAGUCCCAUGAGGCAAGGACCAAGUCUGAGUUUUUAUUGCUCUAUUUCCAGUGCCGGUACAUAGGAGUGAGGAAGAUUGGCCCUGAGCUAACAUCUGUGACCAUCUUCCUCCAUUUUGUAAGUGGGAUGCCGCCACAGCAUGGCUUGAUGAGCAGCGUGUAGGUCUGCCCCUGGGAUCCGAACCCGGGAACCCUGGUCUGCUGAAGUAGAGUGCACAAACUUAACCACUACACCACCGGACCAGCCCCAGAGUGGAAGUUUUUUAAACAUACUUUGUAACUGAUAGAACGAGCAAACAAAGAUCAGAAGAACUUGGAGGACUGGAGCAACAUGAUUAAGAAAUCACCUGAUUCAUAACAUGGAGUGUUCAACGGCAGGGUACAUACUCUUUUAAAGCAUAUAUGGAAAAACUGACCAUAUACUGUGUCAUAAAGCAAGUCUCAACACAUUCCCGAGGACUGAAGUCAUACAGCGUAGGCUCUCUGACCACACUGCAGCCGAAAAGAAAUCAGUAACAAAGAGAUACCAGGAAACCCUCAUUUAUAGGGAAAUUAAGAAAUACGCCUCUAAGUAAUCCCUGUGUCAAAAAAGAAAACACAAUGCAAAUUAGAAAAUAUUUUGGGUGGCAUGAAAUGAAUGAAAAUGUUAUAUAUUAAAAUAGGGAGAAAUUUCUUGAUGUUAAAAUGUUGGACAUCAUAUAUCAACUUUUGACCAUAGAAAAGCUGGAUUUAACUCUUUGAAACCUCCUCAUGCCCCCCCCCCCCCAAAUAUUUCCCUUCUCCCCACUCCCCACCCUCUCAAAUGGUUAUAGCACAUAUUGGUUAAAUUAAUAUUCACUAUUUAUAUUAUUUUGGUUAUGUAAGUAUUUUUCAGAAAAUAUAUAUGGACUAGAUGUUGCCUUCAAGGCAGACCAGUCUUCCCCUCCUAUCUAUCCUAUUUACUUUCUUAUGCCUUUGCCAUCUCUGAACCUCCUCACCCAGCUGUCAAUGACAUCAGCUAACAGUUAAGCAGCUAACAACCUCCAGAAUCCAGACUGCCAGGGCCGAAGCUUCCCUGGAGCUGAUGGCAACUCAAGAUGGAAAGAGACGCGUUUGCAGAUUCCAAGAUGGCCAGAGCAAAGCUGAGGAUGCACAAGGGAAAUAGUGCUAAAAAAAAAUAAAGUAGAUGCUUUCACAGCAGAUGGGAAUAGCUGUUUCUUUUUGGCUAACUGUGAGAGCACAGAGCGAGAAUAGACUGAGAGUUGAGCAUGCUUAAUGAUUUUAUUACAGGGGAAAAACAAAAGUUCAAACUUUUUAAUUUUCCUUUUCAAUACCAAAAAAAAAAAAAAAAGGGAAAGAAAGAGAGGAAGGAGAAAGAGGCCGUUCCCAGGAUACAAAUCUAUUGCUUAAGGAAUGUUCCCCAGGAUACAAGCAUGUGCUUAUGAAUGAGAGCAGGUGGCGUUCUUCUGCUGUGACCCCCUAGGAGGCAGCCUCUUUAUCCACUAAGUGCAGGGGGUGGUGUAUAAAGAAAAGAAAGGGAGGGGAGCUUCUCUCACAGCCAGAGCAGGUGGGGAGGCAGAAAGCAAGUGUCUUCAUUACGGGCAGUGAAGCAGGAUGAACAGUUUGUUGUCCCAGCUUCCUGGUUAGAAGCCAAAGUGCAUUUUCAACUGAAGCAGGAAAUCUCUAGCACUUUCAGGAAUGGUUAGGUAUGGGGUAUACUCUUGUAUCAGCAUGGAAGAAGACAACAACAAAUAUUAUCUAUAAAAAAAGAGCUGGGGUUUUAUUUUUCUCCUAUUGAAAUAUAAAGAUUCCUACAGAAGAGCUGGAAACUUCACCACCAUUCAUUUUUUUCAUUCGUCCGACAGGUAUUUCUGGAACACUUACUGAGUACCCUGCACUGAGCUAAAGCUAGACUUUUCUCAGAAUGAACUGAGAGUCUGUGAGGGGAUGCAGAUACCAAAAGGCAGUCACGACAGCGUAAUAAGGUGAAACGAGGUGGAUUCAGGUGCUACCUGCGCCCAGGAGAGGUCGUGCUCCGUGCAGGCUGGGUGGAGGACGGGCUGCUUUUACGGAAACUGUCAUCUAAGGUGACACCUGAAACAUAAGGAUCUGUGGCACUGCAACUAUGGGAAAAUGUUAUAAAUCCAAGCUUAGGCCUUACGACAGACCUAACAGGCAUGGAAAUUUAAGUUUGCUCGUAUAUAAUUUCUUUCUAAAGCAAAGAAAGAAGUCACUCAUACUCGUUGCUAAGACUUCUGAUUUUUACCAAUUAUCUUGAGGCUGAAACCCUUUCUGUUGUUUCGCUUUCCACACGACCACCUAAAAAGGUCCCAGUCCACUCAUGUGCUUUGCUCCACUGCUUUCUGACCCGUUAUGCAGGGUUGCCUCAAAAUAUUUCUUGGGAAUUCAGGGAGAGUUCACGAUGGGGAAGGCUGGCGACUGCGUCUCAGAACUCGCUCUCAGCAAGCCCUCCAAAGGUAACCGGCCGAGCCCUGCUUUUGAUCAAAUUUUAAUGAUCACGCUGAUAUAAACUACUUUCUGUUCCUGAUCUAUUUCCCAGGAUCUUUCCUGCAGUUAAUCACCAGCUGAAUGGAUCCUGGGGCUCCAGGCCAAAGUGAAAAUGCUGCUCAGCUUGCAAGCAUCAUUACAGAGCACUUUGAUUAGCUCUGACUCACCCUGCGCCGUCUCCACAGCCUGCAAGAAGGCUGCCUGUUACCUUUGUUUCCUCCAGUUCCCAUGGAUACCACCUGAAGGGGCUUCGAAAGCUUCUAAUACCGGCUUCCUCUGUCUUUUGUGACUCUCCACCGAAAUUUCUUCUUCCCCUCAUCCCCGGCAAGAGUUGUAGCCAGAACAUGCUGUCCAGCCUGGGACUACGUUUCUCAGCCUCCCUUGAGCCACUUGAGGUUAUGUGUCUACACCUUCACCAAUGGAACUUGAGCAAGAGGGUGCCACACUCAAGCUGGAGCCCACUGCCUCCAUGAUCUUUUCCUAUUCCCUUUUGGUCUUGUUGGUGAAAACAUGUAAUGGUCUUAAAAUCCAUGAGUUGCUAUCAGACUUGGUGCCUAAGCCACGCAUCAACCCAGAGCCCUUGUCUGGAUGGCUUCACGACAGAGAAAGAAACAGCUUGUUCCUCAGCUCACCACAUUUUAGAGAUCUUUAUUAGAAAGCUUACGUUGCCCUAGCAAACUUGGCCACAACGCUCCAAGGUGGCCCAGGCUCUGCUCCACGUCCCCGGCUGUCAGGAGCUCACUGCCUGCUGCUUUAACUGACUGAGAUAUUAAAGAGUUCUUCAACGUUCCCAGUAGAAAUAACCAUGCUGCCACGUGCAUCCUCCAUGCUGGUCCUGCCCUUGGAAGCCAGGAAAAACCCUAUGGUCAUGUUUGGUUUUCAAGAGAGGAAAGAGUUGUUGACUCCAUCCAGAUGGGGACUGCGAGGGACUGGUCUGCCCUGGAGCCGGGGAAGGCUUCCAGUGGGUGCAGAGAACCAGAGCAGGAGCCUCUGAUAGACUUGCGAUGAUGCAUGUCCACUGGGAGCUCAGGAAGCAUAAAAGGAGCAUGUGCAGGUUUCUCCUGCAAAAGCCCGGGUCAGAGGCACAUCUCCAGCAGGACUGGCAUUCAGAAGGGCUACUUUGGGGAGACAGCUUCUUAAAAAAGGAGCAAUUUACGAUCUCAACAUUUUUGGAGAGAACGUGUUUUAUUCAUUCCCUGCCACAACCCACCUGUUGCAUAUGGCGCUGUGGGCAGCGCAGGAGUUACAGACUUACAGUUACUGGUUGUUCUUCAGACAGGCUGUGCCUUGUCUGGGGGAGGCGCGGAGAGAUGUUUCCUCAAACAGCCAAGAGCAAGAAGGCUAGAGGGAGUGCAUCCGUCAUGCUGGGGGUGCACCAAGGGUCAAGCGUAGGCAAACACAAUUCUGUGCACUCAAUGUGGCAUAUGGAACAUGUACAGAGAACCCGCCAGGAUGGCCGCCAAAAUGGAUGGAAAAUGGGAGAACGGAGAGGAGACGAUGGGGAGAGGCCAGGACAAUUUCCUGCACCAAUUGUCCUGGGUAAUCAGGACAGUCUCCCUGAGCAGACUGCUGUCCCGGCUUAUGUUUUAUUGCUUGGCCAGUGCACGGCAAGUCUGCUAGGUUUACAUUAAGGCGCAACACUCAGGAAAACAGCUGCCUUCAAAACAGUGAUUUUUGCUUUCUGGAGCUGCCCUAUCCUUUAGCAGUCUCACCUUCACUCUGCCGUC